CUACGGGAGGCAGCAGUGGGGAAUAUUGCACAAUGGAGGAAACUCUGAUGCAGCAACGCCGCGUGGAGGAUGACACUUUUCGGAGCGUAAACUCCUUUUAUAUAGGAAGAAGAUGACGGUACUAUAUGAAUAAGCGCCGGCUAACUCCGUGCCAGCAGCCGCGGUAAUACGGAGGGCGCAAGCGUUACUCGGAAUCACUGGGCGUAAAGAGCGUGUAGGCGGAUUAAAAAGUCAGAAGUGAAAUCCUAUAGCUUAACUAUAGAACUGCUUCUGAAACUCUUAAUCUAGAAUAUGGGAGAGGUAGAUGGAAUUUCUGGUGUAGGGGUAAAAUCCGUAGAGAUCAGAAGGAAUACCGAUUGCGAAGGCGAUCUACUAGAACAUUAUUGACGCUGAGACGCGAAAGCGUGGGGAGCAAACAGGAUUAGAUACCCGGGUAGUC
rnacentral:rRNA from 1 species